GCCUGGCUAGUUUUCUUCGUGGUACAGCCUGAAGGCAAGAAAAACCAAAAGGCUUCAGGGUCCCAAGGCAGAAUUAGUGAAGAUACAAUUCCCCUAGGUUGACGACAUAAGAGCAGAGAUUCAAUCUGCCUACGAAAAUGACCUGAAGGGACACCCAGACCCUGAUUCAGAAACAGGAGCCUAAUGUGAAGAAUAGGAAUAGUCUUCUGGAGCUUAAUGGGUAUGAAAUGGUUGAUCUGGGCACCUCAUCAGGCCCAGUAUUACCAUUGAUUACCCUGAGGUUUUCAACAAGCUGGCAGCCCAUGAUUCCUCCAGAGGAUGAGAACAGACAAAAAUAAGCUUGGAGCAUUGGUGCAGUGCAGUAAGCCUGCAUCUGCUUUCAAAAACCAUAUAGCAGCUCUUCCAUCUACUGUCUUUUUCAAGUUUUGAUCAAGAAGCCAGCAUUUUUCUUACUAAGAAGUCCUGCUGCAGAAUCUCUGUCACCUUGGAGAAUGGUCAUUCCAUGACACUGGAGGACAGCCCCAGUGGAGAAAUGACUUAGUAAGUAACAUGGAAGAGACCAGAUGAGGAGUUGGAAACAUGCAGGAUGGCCUUAAAUGUAAGUGUGAAUAAAAGCAUUAAUUAGAGGAUGAUGUGAAUACUGCCUGUUCUUCAAUGCAGUGUAUUGGUCUGUCCUAAUGCCACCAUUCAAUCUGGUUCCAAUUCAGUAUUUCUUGUGAUGGAAGGUCAUUAUGCAGAUUUUUGGUAGCUACUGAAGCAUCAUCCAGUAGAGGCAAUAUCUGGUGAUCUCUCAUUUGUUAUAAAGAUCUGGGUGUGCUAACCACCUGCACAGAAUAGCAUGCUGAAGUGUUACACGAUGUAAGGACUCCUUGAUUUGGUCUUUGAAGACUGAUAAUUUAGGGACUGAGAAACUGCAGAGCACAAAGGGAGGCAAACUACAUUGACUGCUUUUAGUUGCCAAUGGAAAUCAAUGUUUUCCCUCCUGUUAAGAAAUUGUGGCAGUGGAGGCAAUGUAAGGAGAUGUUACACAUAUAACCUGCGCUCCCACAGGUGUGCUCAGGCAUUUGGAGUGAGGGUGUAUGGCAAAUCUUUUCUUUGUAAAAAGAGAAGAAGAAAACUCAUACUUACAUAAACCUAUUCAACAAAACACCCUCUGGCAGGUGCAAAGAAACCUGUUUUCAAAUAGAUUUUUCAUCUCUUUGAGCAACAUUAGCUGUCACCUGUGUGUGAGGAGACAGGCUACAGUGUCCACGGGGAGCUGAUGCAACAUUUUGGGAUGGUAAUUGGCCUUUACAAGUGCCUUUGCUUAAAAAAUGUAUUUACCCAAUGUCAGCUUAAUAUUCCUUGUUUAAGAGAGCCUGGGUAUAACCAAAGACAGUGGUGUUUAAUCGGGCUAAAGAGCUGUUUAAACAUACUUGUGACUGGAGUGCAGUACAAUGUGGCCAGCCAGCAUGGAGAAGGCAGGGUCACGCAGUGAGUUAAAAAGCAAACAGCCCCUUCUCCUGCUCCAUGCUUGCAGUCUAGGGCUGAGCUGGGGCUCAUUUAGCUCCUGUUCCAGCAGUGCUUUUGAAACUGGGUCCUGUGGGCUAAUUCCCAGCUGAGCACUGGAAAGUUUAGUUUGUAUUGGCAGAUGCUGGCUCCAAAAGGUAAACUGUGUGCCCUGCCUGCUUUAAUAAAACAGACCUGUCCAUAUGCACGUAACCCUCCCAGCUUCUUCAGAUCCUUUCAGUUCCUUGGAUGACGCUGGCUGAAUGCCAGACCUCCACUGCCCAAUGAGCCUGUGGCUAAACCCACAGGAGAGGCUGGAGAACUUUGCAGUGUUGAUAAAGCCAAUUCUGCUGAAACAUCCAGAAUUUGAUCUUUAUCCAAAAUAUCACUGAGUUGGGCCAAAAAUACCAUUAGCUAUUUCCAUCCUUAUCCCUAAUAUGCACACAAUGAAAAGAAGUGAAACAUGAUGUUAAAAAAAGAUUAUUUUUCAGCCGUAAGAAAGGAUUUACUCUGGGCAGGGCUUGCUCUUGUUGUCGUAUCCAUUUUCUGUUUUGAGGAUUUGAUCCUGAAUUGCCCCUGGCUCAUGCUCGUCACCACCUUUGGAUGUCAAGUUUUAAUUAUCUAAUGAAAUAUUCCCCUGCCCCCAAUUUUUCCUUAAUCUUCAGGCCAUUGCUAACAUGCUAUUUAACAUUCCCUUUGUAAAGAGAUGGCACUGGAAGGGCACUAGACAUGAGCUCGGAAGCCUCCAGCUCUGGCCCAGAUGCCCAGUGGGCCACAGCCACGGUGCUUAGUCCUUCUGCCUUUGUGCCCUGCCGAGGGAAGGGGAGAGCAUUUGCACCUUCUCAGGCAGCCACACAGGGUGGUUAGAGCUUUUGCAAUUUGGUAUUAGUGACUGCCACUGUGACCCAGAGCAGCUGUGCCUUCAGCAGUGUAACCACCUAUUCCGGUGGACAAAUGUAGAUUUCUAAUUGCAUGGCAGAGACGAGUCCGUGUGUGCUCCUCAAUACUAGCUGCAAACACAAUUCCACUGAAAUGAAAAGGAAGAGAAAGACAGCAAUGCACACAGCUGAAGAUGAGAAGGACAAAUCAAGAAAAGUCGGUGACAUCAGGGUUGAACAGAGUAAUGUUUCCAGGCGUUUCAAGUCAGCCAGUGUGUGUGGAAGCGAGUGGUGUGUCCUGUCAAAAAGGAUGCAGGACAGAGUUUAUAACAUGAAUCCCAGGAGCACGCGGCUUACCACUAAUCAUUAAUAAUCUCCUUUGUUCCUCCACACAAAGGUGUGGGGCAUUCCAGCUAAACACACUUUAUGGCAAUAUCCACCUUGGAUAUACAAUAAGCAAUGAAGUGUAGUGUUCCUGUAAACUCCUUGGCCAAAUAAUUACUGCGGCUUCUUGUCAGUAGUCCAAAGAGGGUGGGGGGAAAGGGCUUCUGUGAAGAGAAGUAGCAGACGCUGACCUUCAUGCAAAUACUUCUUUCUUCUGCUUCAUUUCUUCCCUCCCAUUUUCCAACAAUAAGACUGUUUUAGAUGGACAGGAAAGACAUUGUUUGGGAAUGGAGGUGCUGCAUUUUGUUGUGGGUUUUUUUGUUUGUUUUGUUGUUAUUUUUUUUAAGAAAUGUCUAUGUGAUUUCACAAUUAGCCUACAGCAAAAAUUAGCCCUUCAUGUAGAUUCACACAAAAAAAUAGACUGUUUUUGCUGGGACUGUAGUAAACAUUUCUAAAACAGACGUAGCCUGAGGUGAAGCUAUUCUUGUACUUGUGUUUAGAAAGGAAGGGAUAAAAAAUUAUGGAAUGAAUCAUUCCUGAGUGGAUUAAAACUGUAAAUGCCUGUUAAAAACACAGUCUCUGAUCAUGUGGGCAGAUGGUGUGUCCCACUAUAUAACAUCGCUACCUGGCAGAAUGAAGUGCAAUUUAAUUGACAGACAUUUUCAAAUCCACAGUAAUACACCUCACAAUGAGUGAGUUGGAGUCUGACGCUGUAGCCCUUAUUCUUGGGAGUAAUCUUUACUCACCUGAGUAGUCUACUGGUUUCACCUUUUACCAGCUUUAAACUGGGGGGAAAAUAAAGAAUAUUGAUGGAUAAGUUUUUGCCUUUGUUAAGGUGACACAUUCUCUUCAGCCAUUCAAGAGAUAUCGUCCUCUCUUAUCACCCUCUCAAGGUCUUCAAGUACCUACAUGGGGAAGAGAUUUCUGAUGGAAGAAGGGUCUUUAAUCUAGCAGAAAAAGGCAUAAUGAGAUCCAGUGAUUGAAAGCUGAAGUUAGACAAAUUCAAACUAUCUUAUCUAGGAGCUUGGUAGAUUCCCCAUCACUUUUGAAGUCUUUAAGAAGAUAUCCAGUCUUGAUGUAAAAGAUAUGCUCUAGAUCAAACAGCAGUUAUGGGUUUGAUGCGAAAAUUAUUGGGUGAGGUUCUGCAGUCUGUGUUAUGCAGGAGGUCAGGCAAGGGAAUCAUAAUAGUCCCUUCUGGCUUUAAAAUCUGCGAAGCCCAAACACGACUUCAAUAAGGAAAAAGCAAGCCACCCUGACGACCUCUUCUGCCCACAGAACUUUAAUUUUGGAAACAGAGGCUGGUUAAAGCAGUUCAUCAGCCUUACCUGGACUCUGCUUUGCAGAGUAUUCGUAACACCUCAGGUUCUUUCAAAGAAAGAAAUUUGAAAACAGUCUAGUUUCUCUUUAAUAAAAGUAGUUGGAAAAUGCUGACUGGUUUCUCAACCAGCAUAUAGCUAUUUCUUUUCAAAAUAUAACAACUUUUUUAAUUUUAAAUUUUCACAGCAAGUCUUUUACAUUGUUUCUCAUAAUUUUCAGCUUCUAUUUCUUUGAUGCUCCUUAUGACAUAUUCCUGCAAAUGAAGAGGAAUUGAACUAAU